rnacentral:rRNA from 1 species
UACGAGAGGUCCAAGCGUUAGUCGGAAUCACUGGGCUUAAAGGGUGCGUAGGCGGAUCGGUAAGUGUCUUGUGAAAGCCCCUGGCUCAACCAGGGAACCGCAUGGCAUACUGCCGAUCUUGAGGAAGGUAGAGGCGGGCAGAACGAUAGGUGGAGCGGUGGAAUGCGUAGAGAUCUAUCGGAAUGCCAAGGGUGAAGACAGCCCGCUGGGCCUUUCCUGACGCUGAGGCACGAAAGCGUGGGGAGCAAACAGG